UACGGGACGCAGCAGUGGGAAUUUUGGACAAUGGGGGAAACAGUCAGCCAUCCCGCGUGUGCGAUGAGAGCCUUCAGGUUGUGAAAAACACUUUUGGCAGGAAAGAAACGGCGGGAUAAUACGUACACGCGUGGCGGUACCUGCAGAAUAAGCACCGGCUAACUACGUGCCAGCAGCCGCGGUAAUACGUAGGGUGCAAGCGUUAAUCGGAAUUACUGGGCGUAAAGCGUGCGCAGGCGGUUCCGGAAAGAAAGAUGUGAAAUCCCAGGCUUAGCACUGAGACUGCAAUUUUUAACUACCGAGCUAGAGUGUGUCAGAGGUGGAAUUCCGCGUGUAGCAGUGAAAUGCGUAGAUAUGCGGAGGGAACACCGAUGGCGAAGGCAGCCUCCUGGGAUAACACUGACGCUCAUGCACAAGCGUGGGGAGCAAACGGGAUUAGAAUACCCUGGUGG
rnacentral:misc_RNA from 1 species